ACAGAGAUGAUUUGUGGGAAACAGAGGGAAAUUCAACAGAUCCUGCCACUGUGCUAAUGGCUGUGACACUGUGCCUCCUCUACAGGGUCAGUCAGGUAAGAUCUCUGGGCCUUUAUUGCAGAAGAUCUGCCUAAUGCAAUCCACCUGCUGAAGUUAAACAGAAUGAGCCUUGAUAAAAAUUCAGGUACAAGUCGCUCCAUUGGACAGAAGGGGUAUUUUGUAUUUCAUCUUCAUUGAAGGAAGGAGAGCUCCUUUGAAUACAAGUUAAAGGAAGAAGAACCC
rnacentral:lncRNA from 12 species